AUUGAACGCUGGCGGCGGGCCUAACACAUGCAAGUCGAGCGAGAGGCGGACGGGUGAGUAAUGUAGGGGGACUGACCGAUAGAGGGGGAUAACUACUAGAAACGGUGGCUAAUACUGCAUACUAUCGGAUAACCCAUAUGGGAUUAGCUAGUAGGUGGGGUAAAGGCUCACAUAGGCGAAGAUCUCUAGCUGGUCUGAGAGGCUGAGCAGCCCCACUGUGACUGAGACACGGCCCAGACUCCUACGGAGGCAGCAGUGGGGAAUAUUGCACAAUGGGCGCAAGCCUGAUGCAGCCAUGCCGCGUGUAUGAAGAAGGCCUUAGGGUUGUAAAGUACUUUCAGCGGGGAGGCGUUACCUACAGAAGAAGCACCGGCUAACUCCGUGCCAGCAGCCGCGGUAAUUC
rnacentral:rRNA from 1 species